CAAUGUUAGUUUAAAGAAAAUAAAAACAUAAAAAUAUAAAUAAUCCCCUACUAUAGUAUCACAAGUUAUAGAGAUGAAUAAUAUUGCUAAUUCUAAUAGGGAUAUUUUAGAAAAUAAGUUAUAAUGAUGUCAUUCAAACUUAGAGAUGGCCAAUGGGCCGGACGGCAUGUGGCACGGCACGACACAAACACAUUUCGGUGGGGCACGUGGCACGGCACAGCAUGCACGUGGGCUGGGCCAGGCUUAGAAUUUUGGGCACGUGGGCCUUAAAAGCACGGCACGAUUAUAGAUGAGUUACGCACGACACAAUGAAAAAGCCCGCAAUAAGCAUGUUUUAUUUUUUAAUGAAAGUAAACUU
rnacentral:lncRNA from 1 species